UUAAAGGGGAGAGAGGGAGAGAGAAUGGGGUGUCAGUCUUUCUGGUCAGUAAUGUGAUGUAUCAUUUAUUGUGUAGGAGAAUGUCACCAGUACUUUACAGAUGAUGAAGGAGAGCAUGACAAUGUCCAAUUAGAACAAGUAAAAGAUCGACAUCACUAUGUAUAAUUAAUCAUCUCUUUCUGUCUCUCUUAGUACAACGAAUUUAUAAUCAAGAAAGACUGCAUUCAAUAUGGAUCAAGUCGAAGAGAAGAGAUUACUAAUGCUGUGUUGCAUUGGCUGAAGCAAUGAUGAUGUGUUUCUGUCACUCCCAUGCAAGGUUAGGAUUUACACUACUGACAUCAGUCUUUCAUUCAAAGUGAAAUUCAAGGCAGACAAGAACAUAUGUAUAUAAAUA